CCUCGCUGAGCUAGACCACGGCUGGGAGUGGGUGGUGGUGGGAAAAAAAAAAAAAAAAAUGCUGCCUUUGCUGCUAUCUCUAAGAAAAGGGGAUAAAUGGUAUGGGCUAGAACCUUGCGGAUCGUGUUUUAAACUUCUCCUGGGGUAUUUACUACGUCCCAGAUCGGAAACGAAACUAACCCACCCCAGCCCCCUUUUUAAGGAAAAACAAUUGCCUCUGUGUGACGGGCAAGUACGAGUCCCGCAGCGCGUGGAGCAGAAAAUGGCUAGCUUUAAGUCAUGCAAAUAAAGGAAAACGGCAGCUCACUGUUCUUCCCUUUCAUCUUGGGACUGCUGGGUGUUCCCUUAGAUGGGGAAUUUAGAACUUCAAAAGCUCCGGAAAGGUUUGGACGAGAAAACCGCGCGACCCAGCUCUGAAUUGUUAUCCGGUGGCGUUAUCAGCCAUGUGCUGCUGCUUUUGCUUUUAGCGGUGAAAAUCACACCACACGAGCUUCGGACACACACAAAAAAAUGAAUCUCUGAAAGGCACAAGACAGUUUGAGUGUGAGAGGCUGUGAAGGUCUCAGGAGCUCCAGGACUUUUCUCCCCUCAAAUCAGCCAUAUUCUUCCCUGGAGAGAUUACCUUGAUCUGAGAGCCAAGAAGAUGACAUUGGAGCUAAGAUUUGAAGGCAAUGUGGAAGUGAGCCAUGUGAAUAUUCUCAGUCUCAGAGAAGAGACUGACAGGCAAGGGGACCAGCCAGGGCAGAGCCCUUGAGGUGAGAGUGUGGCCAAUGUGCUCCAGCGAUAGCCGGAUGGACAGUGAAACUGGAGUGGUAUGAUCAAGGGGGCAAGUAGAACAGGGUGAUGUGAGAGCCAAGAGAGAGCCAAGUACAGGUCAUUGAAGGUCAUUGUAAAGGUUUUGGUUUUACUCUAAAAGAAAUGGGAGGCCAUUGAAGGAUUUUGAAGCAGAGGGGUGAUUUGAUUUGACGUACAUUAAAACGGUAUCACUCUGACUGCUGAGCAAGGGUGGAAUUAGGAAGAAUCAGAGAGACAGUUGGAAAAUUUUUGCAAUAAUGGUGAUACUCAAGGCAGUUGGUAUCAGGGAGGUAGUGGGAGUGCUUCAAUUCUGCAUGUGUUUUAAGGUAGAACCAAAAGAUUUCCUAUUAGACCUCAAGUGGAACGUGAGAAAGAAAGGAGUCAAAACUUGUGGUUCAGUUACUUUCAUUUCAAGAAAUAGUACCUCAGGAAGUAUAUUCAAAUUCAUUUCUUCCCUAUUAGGUCAGACCCAAAGUUCUUAAUUCGGUAAUCUCACAUAUUUAAAAAUAUUGUCCACAGUAAUAAUAAAAACAACACCCUACAAUCUGUUAAGCAUCAAGUCCUUUAAUUCAACUACCUCAUGAGGCAGGUAUUAUUUUCCACUAUUUUUACAUGUGUAAACAGAGAUGUGAUUAAUAACCAACAGCUUAGGACCAACCGGAAACAGCCAAAUAUGCGCCCCUAACCAUUAUGUAGGAUGCCCUGCUUCUAGUUAGCCCAGCUACAUCUUCCUCAUGCCAAUAGCCACAUACCUGAAGCCUUCCUCUUUUUUCACCGUAAAGCUUUCCCACUCCUCUAUCUUUCUUGAGUCUCUGUUAAGACACAAGUGAAGGUGGCUGACUUCCUUGCAAGUUUGAAAUCACUAGCCUUUGCUUAUUCUCAUUUAAUUGGUCUUCAUUUAUUUUUAUUGGGGUCUUAGGUCAGGUUCCCUGGGAAAUGGAUUUUGAGAUCCCGACCUGAGGGUAGGUUUAUUGAGGAGCACUUUCUAGAUCAUCCCCUCUGAAGGGGAUGAUGGGAACAGCACGGGGCAGAGAGAGAAGCUGAACUAUGACACAGUAGUUGCACUACAGCUUUAAUGGAUCUCAUGGGGAGCUCUGAGUCAGGAUGGCGCUUCAGAAAUGUACCCUGGCCUGGAUCAGUUGUUGGAUGUAGCCUACCCUUGGGAAAGGAGAGGAGCCUUAGGUGAAGGAGAUCUCUUUGACCAAAGACAAGUCCAAAGGGAGAUCCUAGCUGUGAACUUUCAGCAGCCAAUACGCUGAGCAGCUGGGGAACAAGUGCUUGGAUCCCCUUCAGAGCAGGGGGAGGGUGGAGAUUAGGUGACCCUACCAAACACACGGCUGGCAGCAGAUCAUGACUCUAAUGUAACUUCGAAUCCAAAUUUAAAGCUUCCUUCACUACAGCAUAGCUGCCUUCACUAAAAAAUAAAUGACGUAUGGAGAUUCUGUGACCAUUUAUUUUCUGUCCUCCUACUCCAAAACCAAGAUCAUAUUUGUAAAGUGAUUCUGAUGUUUUUGGUAAGUGAUUGUGAGCAUAGUGGUUGACUCAACUGAAUGUGGCAUCUAAAAGAUCUGAAAUAAAACCCAACCACACAAAGCAGUUAACUGAAUUGCCACAUAUAGCCAUUUAUAUCAUCUUAAUACUAUGGUACUUUACUAAAUGUUUUUCUCUCUCAGUGGAGUAGAACAUUGUGACACCCAGCUUUCCAGCUUGAGAUGUUGAUAUAUUGAAAAUAAAUUGAUAUGAAAAUAGUAUCAUUCCCACCUUAAGGCUAUUCAUCCCCUAGUGAAAAUUAUUCCACUUUAGUUUAAAUAUUAAUAAAGUACAUCUUAGAAGUCAGUACAAUAUGAAUUUAUUCCUUAAAAGAAUCUAGUUCCCUACAUUAUUUUCAUCACUAAUGUUACAUGGUCAUUGCAGCACUUUUGGCUUUACUUGAGCUAGUUAAACUCAAUGCUUCUUUUUUUGGUUUUACACACAAAUCAGCAGAUACUAUAUCCAGCAAUGGGAAUUUUCCUGAAGAUUAUCAAAAAACAUACACCCAGUUCUGUCUACCAAUUGGUCUGAGUAGUCCCUUUAUUUGAAAAUAAAUCUGUGACUUCUAAAAAAAACUCUGUCAGCAUAUUCUCUCACUAUCACAAGACCUUUUGAAUAUAUUACUCAUUGUUCCCAGAGCUUUUGGAUUUUUUCCCUUUACUGUUUGUCCUGGAAAUUUCCUCAUCCAUACCCUUGCCUUCUCCCUCCCCUAAAAAGGAGUCCCCUCUUGAUUAACAUUGUAUGGGAUCUCAGCCAAAUUGGAAUCCCAGGUAGCUUUUGCUCAUAGCAUAGUAUGGUGGUUCUUAAACUUUGAGUCCUAAGACUUGUUAGGGGAAUCUAUUAAAAUGGAAGAUAUUAGAGAUUCAUCCUAGAUCUAAAGAUUUAGAAUUUCUGGAGGUGACGCUCAGACAACUGUAUAACUGAAUGUUUCUUUGUGGAAUUCCAUUCAGUAUCACGGCCUGAAAAACAGAAGUACAUUUCACAUUUCUAGACACUGAUACGGUUUUCUGGUUGUAGAAUAUCAGGAUGAAAUUGGCAUUUGGAGUCUAUUCUUCUCUAACAUUGUGCAUAUAUAUGUCUAUAGAAGAGGAAAUAACAGGCUGGCUUUCACUAGCAGUAAUCCACUUGUAUAAUAAGGGCUAUCAGAAUAGAAACAUUAUAAAUGUAAAGAAUGGGGGCUGUUUGAGAAAAAUUGCUGUAGAAGAAUUGGAAGGACCUGGUGAUUUCUAGAAUGUUAAAGCAAAAAGAUAGCCAAGGAGUUGAAGGUAUCAUUGGGAAAAUGGCUAUGAUGGAAAUUAUUGAACAAAUAUUAAAUGUAGCACUUGAUGAGGUGAUAGGGAGGCCACAAAGAGAAAAACACAUAACUUAGAUUAUUUCAGAAGGUAUUUCUUGAGUAUCUAUUAUGUGCACAGCAUUGUCCUAAAGGGUACCAAGGCAUGGUUCCCAAAUUUGGCUUUGUAUUAUAUUCAGCUGGGGAGAUUUAAAAAAAUAAAGUGCCUGGACUUCACAUUAGCUCUACUGAAUGUAAAUAUCUGGAGGUGGGAUUGCAAAUCUUCAAUGUGUAAGGCUCCCCAAGUGAUUCUGAUGCAUUCAGUUAAUGGACCAGUUAUUUGGGAAUCACUGUUCCAGAGACCACAAAAAUGAGUGAGGCUGUGCUUUUUGAAAAGACCAUAUAAACUGGUAUGUUGAGUAAUAUACUCUAGCGAGUUUCCUUACUCUGCCUUAUACUCAUGGCUUCUAAGUUUUACUCAGAUGUUUCUUUUCUCUGAAAUGCCUUUUCCUCAUCUCUGGCAUGAAAAUAUUAUCCGUCCUUCAAGAUCCGUUCAAGUGUGAGAAUUGGGGCCAUAUUCCCUAUCACCACCCUUCCAACCCCACAUCCAUUGCACAACCCAGUGUCGUAGAACCUAUCCUUACAAUGUCUACUUCACCCCUCAUCUCCUUUCCAUCCUCAUCUCCCCAUCCUUCACUCACCUGAACCACUGAAUGGCCUUUUAACUCAUCCCUCACAUCCCUUCUGUUCUCCUAAAGCCAAUGUGUUCUUUAUGGUUCUAUUAAUCUUAAACAGUUCAAUUAUAACUUUUUCAUAUUGCAGAUAAAGUUUACAAUUUCCCCAUUACCUACACAAUUAGGGAUAAAAACGCUCCAGUCGAGCAUUCAAAACUUCUGUAUCAAUUAAAAUUUCUUUUGUCAUAAGCAACAGAACCAACUCUGACAAACUUCAGCAGAAAAGGUAUAGAGUAGUUCAAAUAGUUAAAAUAGAAGUUUCAAAUCAUUUGUCUUUUUUAUAUUAUUCUUCUCAAAAUGCUCAUUCUCAUUCUUAUUUUAUUUAUUUUAUUUUAUUUUAUUUUAUUUUUUAAGUAGGCUUCACACCCAGUGUGGAGCCCAAUUCAGGACUUGA